GCGGGUGUGGCGGAAUGGUAGACGCGCUGGGUUUAGGUCCCAGUGGGCCGUAGGCCCUUGGGGGUUCGAGUCCCUUCACCCGCACCA
rnacentral:tRNA from 2 species